UGAUUGAUGCAUUACGGCCAUAGGUAU
rnacentral:sRNA from 1 species